rnacentral:rRNA from 1 species
UCGGGAAUAUUGGGCAAUGGACGAAAGUCUGACCCAGCAAUGCCGCGUGAGUGACGAAGGUCUUCGGAUCGUAAAGCUCUGUCUUCAGGGACGAAAAAAGUGACGGUACCUGAGGAGGAAGCCCCGGCUAACUACGUGCCAGCAGCCGCGGUAAUACGUAGGGGGCGAGCGUUGUCCGGAAUUACUGGGCGUAAAGGGCGAGUAGGCGGCUAUACAAGUCAGAUGUGAAAUACAGGGGCUCAACCCCUGGACUGCAUUUGAAACUGUAUAGCUUGAGUGCAGGAGAGGAAAGUGGAAUUCCCAGUGUAGCGGUGAAAUGCGUAGAUAUUGGGAGGAACACCAGUGGCGAAGGCGACUUUCUGGACUGUAACUGACGCUGAGGCGCGAAAGCGUGGGGAGC